UAGAUACCCUGGUAGUCCACGCUGUAAUCGAUGUCGAUUUGGAGGUUGUGCCCUUGAGGCGUGGCUUCCGGAGCUAACGCGUUAAAUCGACCGCCUGGGGAGUACGGCCGCAAGGUAAAACUCAAAUGAAUUGACGGGGGCCCGCACAAGCGGUGGAGCAUGUGGUUUAAUUCGAUGCAACGCGAAGAACCUUACCUACUCUUGACAUCCAGAGAACUUUCCAGAGAUGGAUUGGUGCCUUCGGGAACUCUGAGACAGGUGCUGCAUGGCUGUCGUCAGCUCGUGUUGUGAAAUGUUGGGUUAAGUCCCGCAACGAGCGCAACCCUUAUCCUUUGUUGCCAGCGGUUCGGCCGGGAACUCAAAGGAGACUGCCAGUGAUAAACUGGAGGAAGGUGGGGAUGACGUCAAGUCAUCAUGGCCCUUACGAGUAGGGCUACACACGUGCUACAAUGGCGUAUACAAAGAGAAGCGACCUCGCGAGAGCAAGCGGACCUCAUAAAGUACGUCGUAGUUCCGGAUUUUU
rnacentral:rRNA from 1 species